GGAUUGUGGCUCAGUGGUAGAACGCUUGCCUAGAACAUACGAGGCACUGAGUUCAAUUCUCAGCACCA
rnacentral:tRNA from 1 species